ACCAGAAAUGCAAAAUAAAUCUUUAUACAACUUAGUGAAGAACCGGCUCUUCAGGGUUUUGCAGCUUAAUAAACAGUGCUUAGUCAUCAGUGUAUUCUAAUCAGCAUCAUAUCCCUCACCAGUUUUGGGCUUGCCAAGCAACUUUCUAAAAACCAAACCAUAGAAAUUAUUUACUUCUACAAAAUCAAUUAGUCCUCAAGCUUAAAUUACUUGCAAUUCUCAUGAUUGUGAGCAAGAGGAAAGCGAAAAGGAAUUGUUUAUUGAGAUGACAAAAUAGACAUGCUGAAUGUUGAAAGGCUAAGUGAUAGGUUAAAUUGCCACAUUCAACAGAUGCCGAAGAAUUUAAACAUUGUUACAGAUUAUUCACCUUGGAGAAAGAAGGAUCUUUUGGAUUUAAGUUCAAGAAAUCACCAUGCAGAACUUCGAUGUCUAGAAGUCAGGUUAAGGGAAUUUUUAUAUUGCAAGAACUGUUAACAAGCUAAAAGACUACCUAUCAAAUAUUUGAGAUAAUAAUAUGAAUGACAUUGAAGAUGCUUGAAAACUAUAAACAGGAUAC
rnacentral:misc_RNA from 1 species